AGAGUUUGAUCCUGGCUCAGGAUGAACGCUGGCGGCGUGCUUAACACAUGCAAGUCGAACGAAGCAUUUCGGUCUUAAUCUUCGGAAGCGGACUGAUCUGACUGAGUGGCGGACGGGUGAGUAACGCGUGGGUAACCUGCCCUGUACAGGGGGAUAACAGUUAGAAAUGACUGCUAACACCGCAUAAGCGCACAGGAAGGCAUCUUUCGGUGUGAAAAUAUUUAUAGGUACAGGAUGGGCCCGCGUCUGAUUAGCCAGUUGGCAGGGUAACGGCCUACCAAAGCAACGAUCAGUAGCCGGCUUGAGAGAGUGAACGGCCACAUUGGGACUGAGACACGGCCCAAACUCCUACGGGAGGCAGCAGUGGGGAAUAUUGCACAAUGGGGGAAACCCUGAUGCAGCGACGCCGCGUGAGUGAAGAAGUAUUUCGGUAUGUAAAGCUCUAUCAGCAGGGAAGAAAAUGACGGUACCUGACUAAGAAGCCCCGGCUAACUACGUGCCAGCAGCCGCGGUAAUACGUAGGGGGCAAGCGUUAUCCGGAUUUACUGGGUGUAAAGGGUGCGUAGGUGGUCUGGCAAGUCAGAAGUGAAAACGCAGGGCUUAACCCUGCGACUGCUUUUGAAACUGUCAGACUAGAGUGCAGGAGAGGCAAGCGGAAUUCCUAGUGUAGCGGUGAAAAUGCGUAGAAUAAUCGGGAAGGGAACACCACGUGGGAAAGGGGGCCUACUGGGCACCAAACUGACGCUGAGGCUCGAAAGUGUGGGUAGCAAACAGGAUUAGAUACCCUGGUAGUCCACACUGUAAACGAUGAUUACUAGGUGUUGGAGGAUUGACCCCUUCAGUGCCGCAGUUAACACAAUAAGUAAUCCACCUGGGGAGUACGACCGCAAGGUUGAAACUCAAAGGAAUUGACGGGGGCCCGCACAAGCAGUGGAGUAUGUGGUUUAAUUCGACGCAACGCGAAGAACCUUACCAAGUCUUGACAUCCCUUGACGAUGCUGGAAACAGUAUUUCUCUUCGGAGCAAGGAGACAGGUGGUGCAUGGUUGUCGUCAGCUCGUGUCGUGAGAUGUUGGGUUAAGUCCCGCAACGAGCGCAACCCUUAUGGUCAGUUACUACGCAAGAGGACUCUGGCCAGACUGCCGUUGACAAAACGGAGGAAGGUGGGGAUGACGUCAAAUCAUCAUGCCCUUUAUGACUUGGGCUACACACGUACUACAAUGGCGUUAAACAAAGAGAAGCAAGACCGCGAGGUGGAGCAAAACUCAGAAACAACGUCCCAGUUCGGACUGCAGGCUGCAACUCGCCUGCACGAAGUCGGAACUGCUAGUAAUCGCAGAUCAGCAUGCUGCGGUGAAUACGUUCCCGGGCCUUGCACUCACCGCCCGUCA
rnacentral:rRNA from 1 species